rnacentral:rRNA from 2 species
AUGAAGAACGUAGCGAAAUGCGAUACUUGGUGUGAAUUGCAGAAUCCCGUGAAUCAUCGAGUCUUUGAACGCAAGUUGCGCCUGAAGCCAUUAGGCCGAGGGCACGUCUGCAUGGGCGUCACGC